rnacentral:rRNA from 1 species
GACGAGCCACACGAACGUUAUUCGGAAUUACUGGGCGUAAAGCGUGCGUAGACGGUUAUUUAAGUCGGGUGUGAAAGCCCCGGGCUCAACCUGGGAAUUGCAUUCGAGACUGAAUAGCUAGGGUACGGUAGAGGGAAGUGGAAUUUCCGGUGUAGCGGUGAAAUGCGUAGAUAUCGGAAGGAACAUCAGUGGCGAAAGCGACUUCCUGGACCAGUACCGACGUUCAGGCACGAAAGCGUGGGGAGCAAACAGG